AUAUUAUCUCAGACCUUAACACAACACAAACUUAGUACUACACAACAACUGGUGACUAUGGUGGGAGGGUUAGCAAUAUCAUCUCUGAAUUUGAGUGCAUCAACAUGUGCCAUCGUUACUUUGAUUUCCACGGUGCUGAUAUGGUGGUUCUGGAAUGCACUCAACUGGGUAUGGCUCAGACCUAAGAGAAUAGAGAAGCGUCUGAAGGAGCAGGGUAUCCAAGGCAAUUCCUACCGUCCCUUCAUUGGUGAUAUCAGAGAUAUGGUUAAAAUGAUCAAAGAAGCCAAAUCCAAACCCAUGGAUCCUCACUCUAAUGAUAUCGCACCUCGUGUAUUGCCUUAUGUUGUUCACACCAUCGCUAAAUACGGUAAGAACUCAUUUAUGUGGCUUGGACCAAGACCGAGGGUAUUCGUCUUGGAUCCGGAAAAAUUCAAAGAAAUGGCUACAAAGGUUUACGACUUUCAAAAGCCCGACACAAGUCCACUUUUCAAGCUCCUAGCUUCAGGAUUUGCAAACUAUGACGGUGACAAGUGGGCUAAACACAGAAAGAUCGUGAGUCCGGCGUUUAAUGUAGAGAAAUUGAAGGCUUUAGUACCCAUAUUCUGCGAGAGCUGCGAUGAGCUGAUCAGGCAAUUGGAGAGUGCGUUAUCUUCGUCCGAUGGGCUGUGUGAGUUAGAUUUGUGGCCUUUCGUCCAAAACGUGUCAAGCGACGUCCUGGCUCGCGCAGGCUUUGGAAGUAGCUACCAAGAAGGAAAAAGGGUAUUCCAACUUCAAAGGGAAAUGCUUCAACUUACAAUGACUCUCUUUAAGUUUGCGUUCAUCCCAGGUUACAGGUUUCUGCCAACGCGUACAAACCGGAGGAUGAAAGCAAUUGACAACGAAAUAAGAACAUCACUUAUGGGAAUCAUCAACAGAAGAUUGAAAGCAUUGGAAGCAGGGGAGCCUACGAACAACGACUUGUUGGGCAUACUGUUGGAAUCAAAUUACAGGGAAUCUGAAAAGAGUAGUGGUGGAGGAAUGAGUUUAAGGGAAGUAGUUGAAGAAGUGAAGCUAUUUUACUUGGCAGGGCAGGAAGCAAAUGCAGAAUUACUGGUCUGGACUCUGUUAUUAUUAAGCAAACAUCCUGAUUGGCAAGAAAAGGCCAGGGAAGAGGUUUUCCAGGUUUUCGGUAAUGAAAAGCCAGAUUAUGAAAGACUCGGACAACUUAAAAUCGUGUCGAUGAUUUUACAAGAGAGUCUGAGAUUAUAUCCACCGGUGGUUAUGUUCGCUCGGUAUCUUCGAAAAGAUACAAAACUUGGAGAUCUUACGAUUCCUGCAGGGGUGGAGCUAGUAGUGCCAGUGUCAAUGCUACAUCAGGAAAAGGAGUAUUGGGGCGAUGAUGCAGGGGAAUUCAAUCCAGAAAGAUUCUCAGAAGGUGUUUCAAAGGCAACAAAAGGGAAACUUUCAUACUUGCCAUUUGGAUGGGGUCCUCGACUCUGCAUUGGACAAAACUUCGGUUUGUUAGAAGCAAAAGUAGCAGUGUCGAUGAUCCUGCAACGCUUCUCUCUCGAGUUUUCUCCGUCUUAUACUCAUGCCCCGUCCUUUAUCAUUACUCUGCAGCCUGAACAUGGAGCUCAUAUCAUUUUACACAAACUGUAGAAUUAUUCUACCGUUUGAGACGAAGUGGAAGUGUUUUUGAGAGUUUUUUCAGUAGAGAAACUAUCGAACAUUUUUACUUUGCAUCCAAACCUUUUAAGUGUUAGUAAAAAAAAUAAAAUAAAACAAAUUAGGGUUCUUUGAAGUUUGCACGCUUUCUUUAGGAGCCUGUAAUGUUAAUUUGCCCUUAGUUUUUUUUUUUUUUAAGAUCGUCAUGAUUUUUAGAUUCUAGAUAGUUAGUAUUGCUCAAUACAUGAUUAUGAAUCUGGUAAUGCAAAUUAUGGUGAGUGCAUAUUUUUGUUUUGAUUA